rnacentral:misc_RNA from 1 species
GAACGCACAUUGCGCCCCUUGGUAUUCCGAGGGGCAUGCCUGUUCGAGCGUCAUUUCAACCCUCAAGCACAGCUUGGUCUUGGGCCGCGUCACUAACCCAGCGGGUCUUAAAAUCAGUGGCGGUGCCGUCGGGCCCUGAGCGUAGUACAUCUCCUCGCUAUAGGGUCCCGGCGGAUGCUGGCCAGCAACCCCCAAUCUUCUAUGGUUGACCUCGGAUCAGGUAGGGAUACCCGCUGAACUUAAG